CAACGAAGGCAUUUCCAGAAAAGAUUAGAUCUCCUCUUUUUACUGAAAUAACAACCGUUUAAAGGUUGAACUUGAUGGGCAGAAGGUGCAAACAGCAAAAUGUGAAGGGGAAUAAAAGUAUGUUCAACCACGGGCGGCGAGGAGUGAAGACAGUGAGUUUUCACACAGAGCUGAGUAUUUUAAGCAAGAAGUCGGUGGAGUAAGAAAUAGAAUUCCUAAAUGAGCUCACUCUGUUCUACUGAACUGCAAGAAAGGGAGAUAUUUCAGUGGCUAAGACAAAUGGGAUGAUUUGCCCUCAAAGAGUGUGCAUCUCCACUGACCAUAAAAGGAGCUUGGCUCGGUUACCAGUGGAGCUUCCUGUGGGCAGAUAAGUUAAAAAAUGAACAUGCAGAACACGUCCUGCAAGCCAGCAACAAGGAAUCUGGUAUUAGACAUUAGAGGGCUAUGGAUGGCCUACAGGUUGGAGGUACUUUUCCCCUUUCUGCUUUGUAGCUCAGCUGUUCUCAUGGGAAGACUGCUGAGAUCCCAGCUCUUCUGAAGACUGUGCCACCUGAACAUAUUCUUUCUACCACAAGGAAGACUAUGGCCAGUCCUCCAGCAAGACACAACAUCCCUUCAAUGCUGCAUGGUGUCUAGAAGUUUAAUUGGAUUUUUAGCUUACCUGGUCUCUAAGAGCAACUUCAUUCAACACGGACAGCAUCCUACUGGCAGUUUUGCUUGGUGAACUCUUUCCCAGAGGUUCAAGUCAGAUGAAAAGAUUAGGGAGCCUAGGCAGAGCUUGUGGGUGCAGGCCCUUCCAGGUGGAGUCCACACACAAGUAUGGGUCUGCAGCCACUCAACCUAAUGGCUGCCCUUGCUGGGUCCUGUGGGCAGCAUUCUUCAGUGCCAAAACUCUUCACUCAUUCCCCUAUGCAAUACGAACAAUUUCUGCUCAUAGUCUCUAUACUCUGUAGUGUUUUGUAGGUUUUCAGACACAAGUUGGCUGUAGCAAGUCAUUGCUGCUGCUAAUUGGAUUGGUAAUUAAGCCCCAGGUUGUUCCCUUGGUUGUGUUUGGGCUUGUCUUCCUGGAUGACAAGAAGUCAUGCCUUCUUAAGUCAGCUGUCACUGAAAACCAAGCACUUAGGGACUCACUUAUUUAGCUGGACUGAAGGAUAUUCUUAUUUAAUACCACUUUUUGCUUUUAGCAGACUUGAUUUAACAGUGCUGUUAUACCUCCCAGCACAAGAAUAUAAAUGGUUAUCUUAGAAAAUUUUGUCUGACAGCUCAAGUUUCAAGUAAUCGCAUAAAGAAGUGUGGAAGCAUUCUUGCAGUGACUCAAAACCAGUGCAAAACCUUCCAGGUAAUAAAGUUGUAAUUUGCUCUCAAAACCAGCAUACUCAGGGGCUGAGUCCACCAAGAGAUGGCAUUUGCACUGUGUUUGGCUAGUGCUAUAAACUAGUGGUAGCACGUUUAUGUACUAAAGACUUUUUACUGUAAGUCAUUUUUAAUGUCAAAGACAUUUUAUAAAACAGUAGGGGAAAUGUUUGCCUGAGCUUAGUCAAAGAUGAGAUCAUUAGGUACUGGCACAAAGAAAUGGGGAAUAUGAAGAAUUUCUUAACAUGGAGAGAAAGGCAGUCGGAAAAUUUUUUACAAUCUCAGAGUUGCAGCCAGAAUGUGUAAGCAUUUUUUCUUGUAUAUUUUUCCUCACAUUAUAGUGGAAUAGGGUGUAGAGUAUUGCUUUUAAAGUAGAACAGUAACACAAGUUGUAAAAAACAGUUCUUGAAGCUUACAUAAAAUCAAAAGGCCAUUCAAGGUAAAUAAUAUCAUCUAUUCCUUCUGUUAAGUGGCAGUUUAGCUAUUCAUAGGCAGUUUGUCAGACAAGUUGAAAAUCAGGAGAAAAUGAGAUCAUAUUUGUUGGUUUCUGUUUAUUGUUCAUUAGCUUGCUUUUGUUGCAACUAUUUACAUAUUUUUGGCAUUCACAGAAGAAAUAAAAGUCCCAGUGUUUUGGUGAAAAGAGCUCAGCUAGGGAAAUAAAAAAUCUAGUUAUGCUGCAUUUACUUCACUUUGUAUGUGUUUAAAUGCAAUAUUUAGGUGCUUAGAGUUGGUAAUGAACAUUUGUAAUGCAUGUUAAAAUCUAAUAAUCCAUUGUUCCAUCUUUUUUUAAUAGGGAGUUUCCUAUUUUCAUAUUUUAUGAACAGGCAGGGUUUCAACUCAAACAGAGCUUAUAUGAGAACACAGAAAGAAAGAGGAUGCGAUGAAUCUGUUGAUGUCUUCUUUAAGCAUGUCUUUUUAAGGAAGACAAUGUUCAAAACCUAAUCCUUAUAAAGCAAAUGACUACUCGUUUUUCACUGAGUCUCUGAUUUCCAUGAUGUGAUCUACUUACCUCUUGUUUUCUUAGUAAUUAUGUGCUUCAAAAAUGUCAAAUGAUGUGAACUGAGGUUUAUUAAAGAUUGGACACUGUGCAAUAUAUAUACUGUCUUGACUAUCAAAAUUAAAAAAUAAAAAUGUCCGUUUUUCAGUUGGGAGUCAGUGCAAGGAACAAAAAGGUAUGCAGGUUUGUGCAUGGGUGUCUGGCAAAGAGACAGUUCCUUCAGAAGUCUUCAAGGAAAAUAAAGCAAGAAAAUAUUUUGGUUAAUAAGUUAUAGAUUAAUAUCUGGAUAGUUAUUUUCCCAGCAAUGACAAUAACAGAGAUUCUGCUGUUCUUUUGUAGAAAUGGCUUCCAGAUGCGAAUCAUGGUCUACAGUCCAAGAUUGAAUGUGAUUUAAUAAGUUUUUUAUCAGUAAAUUAUAUAAUAUGUUGGAAUAUGAACAUUGUCACUGCACUGUGAUUCCCUCUACUUUUAGAUGGUUGUUUAUUCUCUUCAUUUGUUCAUUUCUGGUUACUACUGCCUUUUGAAUAUUUGUGAGUAUAAUCUGGAAGAAAAAAAUCAGUAUCGUAAUAAGCACAUGGCUGUGACUAUGUCAUAAUAAGGCUUGGAGUACCAGGUUAGAAGACUGUGAUUUUUAAAGACAAAGCUCAUUCAUAUGUUUUCUUUGUAGCAUCAGAAGAAGAUAUAGUUCAGGUUAUCAUGGGCUUUAACGUGGUCAUUUUAAGGCAGAAAUUCAAGCACCUUGGAGUAAUCACGGGUUUUGAAGAGACUGCUUCUAUCAUUUAUGGUGGUAUGGUAAUAUUAUAUGGGAAAAUGUGAAAUUCUGAGAGGAGUAGGGACCAGAGUAAAGCCAAAUCGCUACAGGGUUCGAGCAGCAAUUGGCUGUAAAGUUAAUAUGGAGCAAGAGUUGGAUGUUGCAAGGUUGAGCAUUAAUCCAGUGCCUGGUAGAAAAAUAAUUUAUCUGAGUUUCUGCCUCAUAGUGGUUGUACUAUGCAAGCUAUUGAACAAAACAAAAUUAAAAAGCAACCCUCUGUGAAGUCCAUAGAUUAUAUUUCAUGAUACUGACAUCUUCUGUCAAUGUGAAGAUGAAAAAUACGUGCUGUAUGGAUGGGAAUAGCUCCCUUCCAAAUCCAUUUACAGUAGAAGUUCGAACCGGGGAGGAAAUUUGUCUUUUUAUCAAAAUUAUUUUUAUUGAGAGAAGCAGAAGUGCGUGUUACAUAUACAUGUCUUCUUGCAUAGUGUACAUUCUGAUACAGUUAAUUCAGCCAAUUUUCUGGUAUUAUUCUCAAGAUCUGUGCCAUGGAUAUUAGAGUCCUCCAUAUGGGUACAUUUAUUCCUCUGAUUUUUUCCAUUUCUUCUUCUUGUAAUAACUGUAGAAAAUCAAGCAUUUUAGUUGAAAUGUAGAGUCAUUAAGGUUGUUUUAGAGGAUCUGAAGCCCUCUCGCGUUUUGUGUAGUCAGUUAUUUUGUUGUAGAAAGAGUUGCAUCUAGUUGUAUCUUCAUUUAUUUUUUAGUUCAAGCAGAGAUGGAAAUUAAAACUAUCUAUUUUGCAAAACAGUCUAUUCUUUUUACAUCCAGUUUAUGCAUAAAUGAAUAUUUCAUUUUUUUUUACAGGAGGUGUGGGUUUCCAGCAAGCCUUCAACUCUGAAUGUAAAAUUUGGGGAUGAAGCAGGCCACUUUUUCAAAAUGCAAAUACAUGCGCUGUGUUUAGACUGGGAAGAACAGCACUGAAUAUUUUGCAUGUAAUUUUUCCUGGAAUAUCAAGCUAGCAUCUACUGCUUUGGUAUUGAAAACGUCGCUGAUUAUGAUGCCAGGACUGUUUUAUUGGGUGGUUGGAAAUCACUUCUGAGUUGGAAGGGGAUUCUGUCCCCACUGGAAAAUCAUACCUGGCAAGACUUUAGUAUCCUCUCCCCUUGCCAUUGGUGUCAGUAGAUUUCUCAGGAAGAAAGAUUUGGUCCAUCAGCAAUAUGGUCAAGCAGCAGACAGUUAAACUUGAUGUUACCACACUCUCAAAAUAUCUAGUACCCGUGACAUUGUGAAACGUAGGUUAGUUACAUUAAUGACAUUUUUCUGCUGAGGUUUCAGUGUAAAAGGUGUGUGAUUCAUUGUGAUUUCAGUAAAGUCCUCCACACUGGAAAUGAGGAUGGUCUUUCUAUGAAGCGGUUGGAAGCAGUAAGGCUGAAGGUCUUGAAGGAACCUACUGCCCAUUAGUAGUCAAGUAAGGAAAUAUAAGCAUAUUUAAUCAUAUAAACACAUUGCUGUAGUGAUUCAUUUAUAAUGGCAUUUUAUUCCCUCGAUAUUUUGGUUUGGUAGCACCGCUACAUCUGAAGCAGUGACAUUUAAGUGCUAAAAAAAGUUUGGUGCCAUUAAAUGAGGAAGCACAGAACCGAAUUUGAGGACUCAAAGCUGCACAUUUGUACGCCAGAAGCCCUUUGCAUCUCCUACUGGAUACGCUGUGCUGCACAGUGAGCGUGGUGUAGAAACUGAUGCCAAAGCUAGCUCAUGCACUGGAAGCAGGCUAGCCCAUUUGUGCGAUGCUUUGCCAAAGCUAAUUUACUUUGCAAAGAAACAGGGUAAAUGAGACAGGAGGCAGCACUAAGCGAUGUGGUUAAACUGCUUCCAGUUACCCAAGCUGGCUCCUCUCGAACUGCUUUGGCCACCUCUCCACAGCUCUGCGUUGUGUAGCACAGCUAUUCCCUGAGUAAAAGUGAUGUGGGAGAAAAGGACUCCUGUAAAGAAGGACGGAUGAAUUGUACCCAUCCUUUCUUCUCCCCCAAAGUAUCUGUCUUCAGAUACAUGCAGAAUGUACAACUAAGCCUGUCUCCAAAUAACUACAGUAUAACUGUCAUUGCAUUUGACCUCAGAAAUGCGAUUCUCUGAGUAAACACAGCAAAUGGAGGCACCACAACUGAUUAUAAUUAAAUAUAAGUGGCUAAGCACAGAUCUGUGGUAUAAAUAGAUGUGUUAGGGCUGACAGUGAAAGUCUGAGUUCAGCUUACAUGCGAGCCUUUGCAUUACUCAUGUAAAUCAAUGUUCUCACUUACAAGAGAAACCUCAUAAUUUACCACUACCCAUAAAGUAUCCUCUCUGUAAUCAAUGGUGAUUCCUAUACGGAAUUAUUGUGCAGAGCAACCUUUCUUCCAUCCAUAUCCUCAGCGUGAUUGCUGUAUGGUUUGGCAGCGCGACAGAGAAGUAUCCAGUGAGCUCAGUAGUUUUCUGCGUGGAAGGACUUCACUGCCCUAAUUUGGUACAAAACUUCCAUUCAGCUUAAAGCAAGCAGAACUGCAAUUAAAUACUCCAAAUGGUGGGGGACCAAGUGCAAUCUUCAGGGGAAGAAAAUGAUUUCUAUCCCCCUGUAUUGAGACUUUACAAUGAAAUUCAACCUAAUUUUGUUCUAUGUGUAAGUAGAAUGUGUUACCUGAAAGCGCUGUGUGCUGUCUGCCAUGCUGAUAAGAGUACAGGAUGUUCUGGCUGUUUUUCCUUCUCUACUUUAGCUUAUAAUGAAAUGCCACGCUGGUUGUCAGCAGCCACCACGCAGCUGCAUGUGCAGGACCUGAGCCAGAGGCAGGAACAGCCCGUGAUGCCAAGAAGUGCAUCCAGGGUGCACAGGCUGAUGGGGACGCGGUGCAGACUUGUCUUUCCCUGGCAUUAAAAGAUGCUGGAGCUGGAAGUUGAGAGAAACUGAAGCACUGGCACUCAGGAGGCUGACAGGACCAGGACAGCGGAUUUUACAGUCAGUCAAGCAGAGGUUUUCUGAAUUGCUUUUGUGGAUUUGGAUCGCCUGAACUCCACUUUCGGUUCCUUACGUGCAUCCUGAGCGUGUGGCUCUGCGUUCCAAGGAAAAUAUAGGCUACAUCUCAAAUAAACAAAAUGAAGAAAUAAAUAACGCUUUUUUUCCAUUUUAGUAUGCGAUCUGAAGUCCUAAAAGAAAAAAAAAUCAUGCAGUUUUCUAGUCACCUAAGGAACUGAUGCCUCUGGAUGAACUGAGCACACCUCUUGCAGUUACAUAAAACAGACACUUCCAAAUGCAAUGUUUUAUUAAGGUGUGAUUAACUAAGGGGGAUAGAAGAGUUUUCUGAAAAAAUAUGGUAAACUAAUAAAUGGCACAUUUAUUCUAAAAAAUUGUAAUUCUCCUUGGCAUUUGAUUACAGCAUGUGAGAUCAAGGAGUUACUGACAAAGUAUGUGUAAGCUGACAAAGCUAUUUAUGCUACAAAAACCUGCAGUUACACACUUCCCUGUUCCUGUUCUGGCUUUGUAUGAAACCUGCUUUUCUUUUUUUUUUGCUUUCCCCUCUUAAGGAUAGCUCUGUAUAUCAAUCCUAUACAUAUUUUUUCAUAUAAUUUGUGAUUUUAUAAGAUAACACCACAUCAUUAUAUAAGCCAUCAUGUUUUGUUUGGAGAAUAAACAGAUGGGUAACUCUUUACUUCAAAGGGUACUUUCAGUAAAGUGUCUUCAUGUAUCUUUCUCAACUUCUACCAAGAAAGCAGUGUAGUAUUCUUAGUGUUGUCUUUUUGCUGUACAAUGUUAAGACUAUGGGGAAAAAAAAAACACAGAGGCUACUGAAUCCUUGGUGAUUGCUUUGCAUAUAGUCAGUAAAAAUGUAAUGUACUCACAAUAUUACUUUUUUGAUGAUCUUUAGUGACUGGGCUGUGAUAUGAGAUCUCCAUUUAAAAGGUUAAAAAAGCACGAGGGAUCGUGGACAGACAACAUUACUAAUCCUCAGAUCUGCAGACGUAUCCUCAACUCAGCAUGGUUCACAAACACCGUGUCUGUAUUCAGCUUCAAAUUCGCUGUUCUUCUUUUAGGUGCAAGGAAGGAGGCAUUUAGGAAGGACAGGACCCUACCAGCUGUUCUCCAGCCACAUGCAUUAAACUGGUGAAGAUUUAUCUUUGCAAUCUUUGCCUUGGCUUUCCUUGAGUGCCUGGUUGUGAUGUGCAGUGCCUGGAUCCCCGGCACCCAUGGCAGGGCAGCGCUUGCAGCCACGCACAGCUCCUGCUCCUCCCGCCUGCACUUGCAAGUGCUCAGCACUCCUACAAAUACCAAGCACCAAGAAAACCACAAUUAACAACCACAUGUGAGAUGUGACUAAUAUCACACAGGA